rnacentral:lncRNA from 1 species
UCUUCAUGGAUUCAAAACUGGAACAGAUUCAGCUAGUGGUACGCGUUCUGCCAUUUCUGCCCUCAUCUGCCUCCUCUGCCCAUCUGUCUGUUUUGCCAGAUCCGUAGAAAGUCACGCCCAGGGACGAGAGAAGAACGCCCUUCAUGAGCGCUAGCUGUGCUUUCCUAGCAAACAGGAGACAAAAGCUCCCCACACCAAUGCUCACCUCCUCAGGGUAGCUCUCUUCUCAGUGGAAGAUAGGACGGCAAGGAGAGUGGCCACAAACAUCUUCCCUAAAUCCAGGACUUGAUCUAAUUCCCUGUUUUAAUACUACUGUUAGAAAGGAAAAGCAAAGCUGGGUAUUAAAGAACUGUCAGCAGAGAAAUGGGUUAAAUGAUGCUGUAAUUGUGUAAAUGCAGAUGGAUGAUAACUGAACCUGUUUAUAAACUGCAGCAACUCUCUAUUGCCUAGAGAUGACUUCAUGCCUGAAGAACUCUUGUAAUCUUUUUCAAUCAAUGCCUUUAUUUUUCUCUCACGUAAAUGUCAUGUAAGGACAUAUACUACAUUAUAUGAAUGUCAAAGAUAACUGCCCGGCAAUUGUGCUUUCCUUUUACUUCCAUUUUCCCUUAAAAGUGAGCCCUUCCUUUUUGCUGCAUGUGAACAAAAAUAGGAUUUGAUGACAAAAAUCUCAUCCCCAAUCAAGUCUUUUUUCCAGUGAAAUUUCCACAAGAGACGUUAAGCAGCCACACGAGCGCAGCUCUUCGCUGUGACGAUCACACAGGAGAAUAAUGAAGAUUAAUCAUCACUGUAUCAGAAGGUCUCAGUCUCCUGGUAAGAAAGGAAGUAUAAAGGAGAAAGAAUCACUCUGUGUUGGGCCUUCUCUUGUACUCUUCCUUAUGCAUCUCUUACUGACCAACGUCAGAGGCAGGAUAUUGGGCUAAGCAGAUAGUCAUUCUAGCAAAGUAAAUGAAGAAGAUUUUAGUGACACCAAGUGCAAGUGUGUGUGUGGUGGAGAAUCUUUCAGCUGUCCAAGAUCUGGUGAUCUGAAACUGUGAAACUGUUAAAAGGUAGGCCAAAGUAAC